rnacentral:tmRNA from 1 species
GGGGGCGUCACGGCUUCGACGCGUUUGGUGAACAUGGAGCAGCGUGCCGAGGUUCCCGGAACCUCGUUAAACUUCUGGGAAAAUCAUAAUUGCCAACACUGAAAUGGCAUUGGCUGCGUAACUACGGUUUGUAGCCCGUCUCCUGAUUUACCUGCCCGAGGUGGAUCUCCGAGGCGUCGAUGAUUCGGGCUGGUCUCACACCAGUGCUAUUCUGGUGAGGGAUGAGAUUAUCAGAUAGCUAGCUUGGAUUCGAUUGCUCGCUCUUCGUUCCAAGUAAAUUAUCGAGCGAUGCUACGCACGUAGAAACUCUGUAGGAUCGAUUCGCGGACGCGGGUUCGACUCCCGCCGCCUCCAU